rnacentral:rRNA from 1 species
CGAAGAGUUUGAUCCUGGCUCAGGAUGAACGCUAGCGACAGGCUUAACACAUGCAAGUCGAGGGGCAGCACAGGUAGCAAUACCGGGUGGCGACCGGCGCACGGGUGAGUAACGCGUAUGCAACUUGCCUAUCAGAGGGGGAUAACCCGGCGAAAGUCGGACUAAUACCGCAUGAAGCAGGGAUCCCGCAUGGGAAUAUUUGCUAAAGAUUCAUCGCUGAUAGAUAGGCAUGCGUUCCAUUAGGCAGUUGGCGGGGUAACGGCCCACCAAACCGACGAUGGAUAGGGGUUCUGAGAGGAAGGUCCCCCACAUUGGUACUGAGACACGGACCAAACUCCUACGGGAGGCAGCAGUGAGGAAUAUUGGUCAAUGGCCGAGAGGCUGAACCAGCCAAGUCGCGUGAGGGAUGAAGGUUCUAUGGAUCGUAAACCUCUUUUAUAAGGGAAUAAAGUGCGGGACGUGUCCCGUUUUGUAUGUACCUUAUGAAUAAGGAUCGGCUAACUCCGUGCCAGCAGCCGCGGUAAUACGGAGGAUCCGAGCGUUAUCCGGAUUUAUUGGGUUUAAAGGGUGCGUAGGCGGCCUUUUAAGUCAGCGGUGAAAGUCUGUGGCUCAACCAUAGAAUUGCCGUUGAAACUGGGGGGCUUGAGUAUGUUUGAGGCAGGCGGAAUGCGUGGUGUAGCGGUGAAAUGCUUAGAUAUCACGCAGAACCCCGAUUGCGAAGGCAGCCUGCCAAGCCAUGACUGACGCUGAUGCACGAAAGCGUGGGGAUCAAACAGGAUUAGAUACCCUGGUAGUCCACGCAGUAAACGAUGAUCACUAGCUGUUUGCGAUACACUGUAAGCGGCACAGCGAAAGCGUUAAGUGAUCCACCUGGGGAGUACGCCGGCAACGGUGAAACUCAAAGGAAUUGACGGGGGCCCGCACAAGCGGAGGAACAUGUGGUUUAAUUCGAUGAUACGCGAGGAACCUUACCCGGGUUUGAACGCAUUCGGACCGAGGUGGAAACACCUUUUCUAGCAAUAGCCGUUUGCGAGGUGCUGCAUGGUUGUCGUCAGCUCGUGCCGUGAGGUGUCGGCUUAAGUGCCAUAACGAGCGCAACCCUUGCCACUAGUUACUAACAGGUAAAGCUGAGGACUCUGGUGGGACUGCCAGCGUAAGCUGCGAGGAAGGCGGGGAUGACGUCAAAUCAGCACGGCCCUUACAUCCGGGGCGACACACGUGUUACAAUGGCGUGGACAAAGGGAAGCCACCUGGCGACAGGGAGCGAAUCCCCAAACCACGUCUCAGUUCGGAUCGGAGUCUGCAACCCGACUCCGUGAAGCUGGAUUCGCUAGUAAUCGCGCAUCAGCCAUGGCGCGGUGAAUACGUUCCCGGGCCUUGUACACACCGCCCGUCAAGCCAUGGGAGCCGGGGGUACCUGAAGUCCGUAACCGCGAGGAUCGGCCUAGGGUAAAACUGGUGACUGGGGCUAAGUCGUAACAAGGUAGCCGUACCGGAAGGUGCGGCUGGAACACCUCCUUU